rnacentral:rRNA from 1 species
UACGGGGGGAGCAAGCGUUGUUCGGAUUUACUGGGCGUAAAGGGCGCGUAGGCGGCCAGCACAAGUCAGUUGUGAAAUCUCCGGGCUUAACUCGGAAAGGUCAACUGAUACUGUGCGGCUAGAGUGCAGAAGGGGCAACUGGAAUUCUCGGUGUAGCGGUGAAAUGCGUAGAUAUUGGGAGGAACACCAGUGGCGAAGGCGGCCACCUGGACCGGUUCUGACGCUGAGGCGCGAAAGCGUGGGUAGCAAACAGG